rnacentral:lncRNA from 1 species
CAAAGGUUAGCCUAGGUUGUUAGGAUUAACGUUCGGCUUAUAGUAUGUCAAGAAUAAAUUUCUCUUUCAUUGUAACAAAAAUAAAAAUUGAGAGAAGUAUUUUACCAUUAUAUGAAAUACGAAGGAGCACAAUGAGGAAAGUUGACUUGAAUGAACCUUUCUCCAUAUCUAUUCAAUUUGUUGAAGGCAAGGAAGGAUUAUAGGUUCGUACGUG